AAAGAUGAUUUCCAACUUAUUCAUUUAUUCUCAAUUUGUCUUAGUGUAAAAACCUUCAGAAGGGUACGUACGUACCACAUGUGAAUAAUAAUCAAAAUUACAAAAUACGUACAAUUGCCAGUAUGUUCUUCAUUAUGUAAACAAACGCACAAACUUUAUCACAAGAAUGACAAGAUACACGACCUAAUGAAAAGAAUUUCUGAUUUUGGGGGCUCCCAUGGUGGAGCUUUAUCUAUAUAUAUGUUCACUGUCCAGUAGCCAUGACGAACGGAGGGGGAGGCUUGGCAUGGCCUGCAAACUUCAUACCGUUAUGGCAAGGUGGGGCGCCCUUUUCCGGGAUAUGGCUGCAUGAACUGCUUCCAGAGGGAGGCACAGGACCUGAACUCAGAGAUUGCAAAGGAACAAAUCUUAUCUUGAUCCACUCUUCUUUCUCUCCAUCAAGAACCCUACCAGCACUGUGUGGUUGGACGCUCAGAACAAGGACAAGUGCCGUGACAGCUAAAGCAAUGUUGAGAAACCUCAUGAUCGAUCUUUGGCGGGUUAAGCAAAGAGGAGAUGAUCAAAGCAAUAUUUUUAGAUGGACAAAUUAAUAUGCAUAUAUGAUAUAUGGAAGAGAACGACCAUCUCGGUUAUUUAUAUGCUCCCAAUGGUAUGACUGGAGUUUUUGGUAGUUUGGCUUGUUUGAAGGGUUUCUUUGACUGUUGACUUACUAAUAGUGUUUUGCUUUGGGAGAUUGAAAAUUGAAGUGGUCUUAAAGAAGAAACUACGUCUGAAAAUACUUGAUUACUGUACACAUGAGCAUGCAUCUUAUGACCUUUUUGAACACCAAAAAUUAUGUGAGAAGGAAAAUGAUUUUAAUGUUAAGUUGGAGAGUUGCCUUGGUUGUCCUUAAUCAUCAUUCCCUCCCUAUUGAAUUAGGUUCACAUACUAGUUGGUAAAAGCCAUUUAAUAAAAAAAUUAAGAAAUAUUUACAAACUAGGUUAGCGUUAAAUAAGAUCGAGUACACUAUUUGAUCUAGGCAUUUUGGAGGUUCUUUCUUACAACUUGAACUUCCUUAAGGGGGCAUUAAUUUUGAAAAAUGAAUGAAGUUAUGGAUGAAGUGUCUUCACUUAAACGGGAGCUUAAGGCUAUAUUUGGUUCUCAAAAAUUUUAAGGGAAAAUGCGAGGGAAAUAAAAUAGAAGUAAUAGAAGUAAAAAUAAAAUAAAAUGAAAAAUAAUUUUAAAAUUAAUAAAUUAUAUUUUGUACUUGCAUUGUUUCAAAUUUUUUUACUUAUUUUAAUAUUAAAUAAUUUUAAAAUAUAUAAAUUUCUAGCCAAUUUCAAUUAUAUUUUAUUCUCUUUCACAUUUUCCAUAUGAAAAAAACCAAACACGAUAAAAUCAUUUUCCUUAUCAUUUUCUUUCUUUCCUUAGACAAUUUUGAAUUUCUCAAAAUUCUAAGAUUUUUUUAAAAGAUAUUAGACUCUUAAAUUCUUUAAAAUAACUCUUUAAAAAAUUAACCAUCUAAGUCUCAUUUGAUCCUUUGGACCAUAAUAUCCUAGUACAAAAAUUUCAAAAAGAUUGAUUGAAAAUAGAGAGCAGCUUAGGUACUUUUGAACCACUCGUGUUGCUUAAAGUUCUGGGAUGUUUUGGCUAGAUUUUGACCCCUUGUUAAUUUGAUAUGUUAGUAAACUGAAAAUAGAACCAAAGAGUAAAAUUCCACUCCAUUCUGAAUUUGUUUGCAUUAGAAAAGAAUUUCUAAAAUAUCAAUGGGUUUUCAAUACUAUGUGCUAAGAUAGUUUUAGAUUCCCAGAAUUUGUGUAUAUUAUUUGGGUCUCUUAUGAGUUUAUAAAUUAUUUUUUAAUUUUAUAGACUUAUUGUAGAAUAAAUCUUGAGAGUUUUGUAAUUUUUGAAACUCAUUUGGCUAAUGAAAAAACCGAGAAAAUGAGUAGCAUUGUAGAAUACUUUGUUUUUAGCAAAUCUAGAACCAAUUUAGGUUGAAGAUUGAUUGAUGAUCUUUCGCUGACCAUUUGACUUGGUUAUUAAUCUUCAAGGUAUUUAAAUUCAUCAAACAUAUUCAUUGACUUGAGUUCCACUUGAAUUGAACUUUGUUUGCCUAGAUUUGUUUUUAAAAAAAACUUUGUAUCUUUUCAUCUAGGGUGUUGUUUGGGUGAAAAUAGGCUUGCAAGACCUUAGAAUCCUAGUUUCCCGUUUUUAUAAAAUUAUCAAAUAUCUUUAAAUUUUCUUUUUUAGAGGAAAACUUAGAUUUUGAGGAAGCAUCAUAUUGUAAAAAAUAUUAACUUUUUAGUAUAGAUGUUUUUGUGAGUAGUUUGAUACAUAUGAUUUUAUUAAAUUUUUCAGAAAGUAAAUAUCUAUAAUUGCUUAGUUUUAUUAACAUAUGUUCUAUAUUGCUUGCUUAGUUUACUAAUAGCAUAAAAUAUAUGUUGAAUUUCUAUUUCGUGAAGUGCAUUGAUUAUUGAGUUUGCAAAAAUAAAUGUUGCUUUGUCUUUAAGUAAUUAUUUAAUGACUUAUGUGUAUUGACAAUUCACGAAAUUACAAAUUGUGUUAUGAUUUAAAUAAAAUAUAGAAACAUUUGGGCAUUUAUAACUAAGGGGCAUCAGAACAUGCACAUCCACGAAGUAUUUCAUGCAAUUUUGUUUUGGAACUCUCCACCAAUUGUGUAGUAAGAGGAAAAUCAUAAGACAGGGUUAUGUGUUCUAAUGUCAGUAUAGGUGGUAGAGUUCACAAAGUAUACCCUUUUGUACCCUUUAAUGAGAUAACCAGACAAUGAGUUUUGUGGUAUUAUGAUCAAGGAUAGUAAAACCCUAAAGAGCACGUAGAUAUGCGGUAACCAUAAAGAUAAUAGGCUUGUGUAUAGUUAAUGGAUUGACCAUAAAUAUGUCUAGACUUAUGAUUUUAUUAUUUAUAUCUUACAUGUUCUUUAAAUGUUAUUAUCAUUACAUUAUGCUAGUUUUUGUACAUCAUAACUAUCUACUAAAUCGUCUAUUCACUCCCAUAGAUUUUAAUGUUUUUCAAGUAAAGACUCUCAGUAUACUUAUCGAGGAUGUAGAAUUAGUUUCAGAGAGCAAGUCACUAAAUACCUAGCUUUGUGUCUUUUCUUAUUAAACUUGUGGGAUAUGUAGUCCAUUUCCUUUAUGUAUUUUAAUUUUAAUUUAGUUGUUUUCAACUAUAUGCCUCAUCUUGUCAACCUUUGUUUCCAUUAUUAAUUUAUUUUAUUGUUGUUGCUUUAUCAACAUUAUUUAGUUGUAUGUUUUUUGUUUUUUUUUUCAUACAAUAUAUUUAUCUACUGAGACAAUAAUUUCAUUUUAGAUUAUGAUACAAAGUGGGCUCAUUAUCUCUUAGUGGACCCUUUUUAGGCCGGUCCUUACAAAAUAAGUUCCUAAUGAUAUUCUUAUAUAUUAGUUUUCUUAUCCCUUCAUGAAUUACAUAGUAAUUUUCUCUUAUUGGUGUAGACAUGUUUUUAGGCUGUUUGAAUUUAGACCCAAGGAAAAUAAUAUUUACACUAAAAAAUGAGUUGUUCUGCUUCAUUGUCAAACUAAUAAAAAGACUACCAUGAAUAUAUAUACAUAUGAUCACAAAUAAUCAGCCUUACCAACAUAUUUUUAGUCUUUGAAUUAAAUACAUUUUAUCCCAUCAACCUUUUACAUGUUUUACUAGUUACCCUUCACAUUCAAAAUCCAACAAACAGCAAGCACACAUGAGUAUGUGCAUCAUUCAACUUGUUCUUUUUUAUUUCUAUAUAUAUAUCACAAAGUGUAAAAGUCCAUUAGGGUACAAAAUGUGAAUAGUGAAAAAGAAUACACAAAUGACAUACAACCAAUUUGUGUUAUUAUUAUUUUUUUCUUUAUUCAUUUAUCAGAAUGAAAAUAUAUAAAAACAAAAAAUGCAAGGCCUACAUAUUCAUUUUAUUCGUUAUGGUCUUAUAGAAGUCCUAAAAUACGUAGUUAUGUGCUCAGGACUCGUAAGAUGACCAUGCAUAGUGGAGCUUCAUUUACGUUCAGUAGCCAUGACAACCGGAGUGCUGGCAUGCGAACGUGCUCUAGGGGGAGGCAUGGCAUGACCCCCAAACUUCAUUCCAUUGGGACAAGGUAAGCCUUUUUCGGGGACACGGCUGCAUGAACUUAGUCCUGAAGGAGGGACAGGUCCUAAAAGCAUAGAUUUCAAAGGAACAAUCUUAUCUUCAUCCACUCUUCUUUCUCUCCAUCAAGAACCCUACUAGCACUGCCGGGUUGGACACUCAGAAUAAAAACAACUGCUGUGACAGCUAAAACAAUGUUGAGAAAUUUCAUGAUGAUCUUGGUUGGGUUAAGCAAACAGGAGAUGAUCAGGUAGAGCAAUAUUUUUAUGCGGGCAAUAUGAAGAUAUAUGGAGGAGAACGAUCACCGGUUAUUUAUAUUAAUGCUGCCAGUGGCAUGACUAGAGUUUUUGGUAGUUUGGCUUAGUUGAAGGGUUUUUUUUUUACUCUUGACUAAUAGAAUUUUACUGUAGGAGAUUAGAAAUUGAAUAGGUCAUAAAGGAAGAAAAUACCUAGAAUUACCCAAAUGACUAGUUUUCUUUUGUAGUUAAUUUAAUUCAACAUAUGAAUUUAUCUUAAACCAAUUAGAAAGAAAAUAUAUGAUAAUCUCUCCAAGAUUUUUUGAAAAUAGAUAUGAGAAAUUAAUCCAUUCCCAUUAACUUUAAUUAAUACUAAAGUACAUAAUUUGGCUUGGUUAAAUAUCAUUAGUUGUCAUUUCUGAGAAAAAUUCAGAUAAUUAUUGUUUUGGAGACCAGGUUCUACUAUAUAAUCACAUUUUUUUCACCAAAUUAAGCAAUAUUCGUAAAGCUUAUUUACAUUAUUGAUUUGUAAUUAACCUGUAUUGGACACUGAAGAAUCAAUUUAUAUGCUACAAGUACAAGUGAUAUUCACUAGCAUGUUCAGGAUACAUGGCCUUUUCUGUGCCAUAUUAAUUGCAUAAGGGGCUGCUAAAUCAUAUCUCAUAAAAAUUAAUCAUUUCCAAAUUGUUAGCAUUAAUCUAUAGCAAAGUUAAGUAUUAAUUCAAAAUUUUCUCAUCGUUGUAAAGAACUUAAUGGUAGAAAUAGGAGUAGAGAGACCAAUCUAGGUAGGUAUGGUCUAUGAAGACUUUUGUCUUAUAUAAUACGUACCAUUUACUUCAUUAUUUUAGAGGCAUUGAUUUUGAACAAAGAUAAAUUAAGUUGUGGUAGGAACACGUUUACUUGAAUUGGGGCUUGAAUGUUUGGGGCUUUUAGACGACAUACUUCUAGCAGAUUCAAGUCAUUGAACAUAACUCUACCAACACGCAUCAGCUUUUCCACCCUCAGGAGCCAUGAGACAAAGUCCAUUUCUAUGUAUAUAUGCACAUGUACCAACCCUCUUUAUUAUGACUCUACCCAUGUUGACAUAGUUUAACACGAGUUCAAAUUAGUAACUUAGGAUGAUAUUUAAGGCUUAAGCUAAAUUAUAUAUUUUGAUAAAUAUGGUUAAUAUGGUUAAUAUUAUCUGUCAUCCAACAACUUAAGGUUUUAAAUCAAAUGAGCAAUUUAACAAUUACACUAUCCUUAUUCCAUUAAUUGGAAGGCUCUUCGUAUCUUUUGCCCAAGAUAUCUAGGAAUUUUUAUUUUUUUUGCUUAAAUAAUAAUAUAAUUUAUAAAUAAAUAAUAUAUAUAUAUAUAUAACAGUAUUUUACAACGUAUUAAGAAAAAAUAUGAUAUUUUUCGAAGUCGGUCUUUUUUUAAAAAACAAUUUCACAAGCAUAAAUGGUUUUUAAGAAAAACAAUUUCUUGUUCAUAGAUAUCUUGUAUUUCAUCUCUUAUUUUCUUUCUUAUUUCAAGUAAGAUUGUUGUUUCAAAAUGGGAUUUUGACAUGAAUAUAGUACUCUUUUAUACCCUUAGGUGAGAUGACUAGGAGAUGAUCGAACUCUAUAGUAUUAUGAUCAAGGAUAGUGAGACCUAAAGAGCAUGUUGAUGAUACGUGGUGGCCAUGAAGGUAAUAGGCUUGUGUAUAGCUGAUGGAUUGACCAUAAAUAUGUCCAAAUCUAUUAUUUUAUUAUUUAUAUCUCAUACAUUUUUUAAACGUUAUUAUCAUUAUGUUAUGCUAGUUUUGGUACAUCAAAAUUACUCCAUAUAUAAUAUAUUUUAAGACUAUUUUUACCUUGUAUUAAUUAUCAUAACACAAGUGCAGCAUAAUUAUCCACUAAACCAUUCAUUCACCUAAUAGAUUUUAAUGGUUUUUUAGGUAAGGACUCUCGUAUGCCUAUUCAUGAGGUAGAAUCAGCUUCAAAGAACAAAUCACUACGUACCUAGAUUUGUGUUUUUCUUUAUUAGACCUAUCGGAUGCGUAAUCUAUUUCCUUAAUGUAUUUUAGUUGUUUUCAGUUGUAUGUCAUCUUGUCAACCUUUCCUUCCGCUAUUAAUUUAUUUUAUUAUUGUUGUUUUACCAAAAUCAUUAACUUGUGUGUAGUUUUUAUACUAAAUGUUUAUCUGUUGAGACAAUGAUUUCUUUUUAGAUUUUGAUGCAAAAUGGACUCACCGUCUCUUAGUGGGCCCUUUUUGGGUGGGUGUUUACAGAUCAAGUUUCUGAUAAUAUCAUUAUGUAGCAGUUUUCUCUUUACUAAUUACAAAGCAAUUUUCUCUUAAUGAUGUAGACAUGGUUUUAGGCUAUGGUUACACCUAAAGAAAAUAAUAUUUAUACUAAAAAAUAAGUUGUUCUGUUCUAUUAUCAAACUAAUGAAAAAGCUACCCUGAAUAUAUCCAUAUUAUCACAAAUAAUUACCCUUGCAUAUACUUCAGUUUUUUUCCUCUUCUCUAGCAUAUAAGUGCCGUAAACUUGGAUGCAUGAGCAAAGUUUGACAAAACACGCGGAUGAAUGCCGAACAAAGAUGAUGAAAAUGGAAGUACUGCUACAACCAGCAAUCAUAUAUGAGCAUAUGCAUCAUUCAACUUGUUCUUUUUUAUUUCUAUAUAUAUCACAAAGUGUAGAAGUCCACCAGGGUACAAACUGUGAAUGGAGAAAAAGAAUACACGAAUGACAUACAACCAAUUUGUGUUAUUAUUAUUUUUUCUAUGAGAAGGAAAAUAUAUCAAACAAAAGAACAAAAACAACAAAUGCAAGGCCUACAUAUUCAGUUUAUUCCUUGUGGUCCCAUAAAAGUCAUAAAAUACGUAGUUAUGUGCUCAGGACUCGUACGAUUUUCUGAUGUUGAGUGAUGACUAUUUAUGGUGGAGGCUAGAGCUUCAUUUAUGUUCGGUAGCCAUGACAACAGGAGUGCUGGCAUGCGAACGUGCUCUAGGGGGAGGAAUGGCAUUACCCGCAAACUUCAUUCCAUUGGGACAAGGUGAGCCUUUUUCAGGGAUAUGGCCGCAUGAACUUGGUCCUGAAGGAGGGACAGGUCCUGAUAGAAUAGAUUUCAAAGGAACAAUCCUUAUCUUCAUCCACUCUUCUUUCUCUCCAUCAAGAACCCUACUAGCACUGUGGGGUUGGACACUCAGAAUAAAAACCACUGCUGUGACAGCUAAAACAAUUUUGACAAAUCUCAUGAUGAUCUUGGUUGGGUUAAGCAAACAGGAGAUGAUCAGAUAGAGCAAUAUUUUUAUGUGGGCAAUAUGAAGAUAUAUGGAGGAGAACGAUCACCGGUUAUUUAUAUGAAUGCUGCGAGUGGCAUGACUAGAGUUUUUGGUAGUUUGGCUUAGUUGAAGGGUUUUUUUGACUCUUGACUAAUAGAAUUUUACUGUAGGAGAUUAGAAAUUGAAUAGGUCAUAAAGGAAGAAAAUACCUAGAAUUUACCCAAAUGGUUAGUUUUCUUGUGUAGUUAAUUUAAUUCCACAUAUGCGUGCAUCUUAAAUCAAUUACCAAGAAAAUAUAUGAUACUCUCUCCAAGCUUUUUCGAAAAUAGAUAUGAGAAAUUAAUCCAUGUCCAUUAGCUUUAGUUAAUAGUAAAGUAUGUAAUUUGGCUUGAUUAAAUAUCCUUAUUUUCACGAGAAAGUUAGAUAAUUAUCGUUUUGGAGACCGGGUUCUACUAUAUAAUCACAUUUUUUUUUCACCAAAUUAAGCAAUAUUCGUAAAGCUUAUUUACAUUAUUGAUUUGUAAUUAACCUGUAUUGGACACUGAAGAAUCAAUUUAUGUGCUACAAGUACAAGUGAUAUUCCCUAUCAUGUUCAGGAUACAUGGCCUUUUCUGUGCCAUAUUAAUUGCAUAAGGGGCUGCUAAAUCAUAUCUCAUAAAAAUUAAUCAUUUCCAAAUUGUUAGCACUAAUCUAUAGCAAAGUUAAGUAUUAAUUCAAAAUUUUCUCACGGUUGUAGAGCACUUAAAUAAGAGUAGAGAGACCAAUCUAGGUAGGUAUGGUCUAUGAAGACUUUUGUCAUAUAUGAUACGUACCAUUUACUUCAUUAUUUUAGAGGCAUUGAUUUUGAACAAAGAUAAAUUAUAUUGUGGUAGGAACACGUUUACUUGAAUUGGGGCUUGAAUGUUUGGGGCUUUUAGACGGCAUACUUCCAGCAGAUUUAAGUCAUUGAACAUUACUAACACGCAUCAGCUUUUCCACCCUCAGGAACCAUGAGACAAAAUCACACAAUUUCAACAAACACACAAGCCCAAUUUCAACAAUAAUCACUAUUAAAAUCAAAGGGAAAAAACUUACACAAUUUCAAAUUUUAGAAGGAUAAAAAAAUGAGAGAAAGUUGAUGAAAUGGAAGAAUGGGAGAGGAAAGGAGGGAGUUGUCGGUUGGCAGUGGCUAACCAGCGGCGGGAGGGAUGAUGGGUUUUUUUUUUUGGAAAUAAAAAAAAUAAAAUGAAAAAAGAAAUGGAAGGAAGGAAAUGAGGGGUGCAUGUGGCAGUGAAAAAAAUUGGGGGCCAGCCACUACCUUGUGUGGGAGCUGGGGAGGGAAAAAAAAACAAAAAACUCUAGAGGGGAGAUGGGAGGAGAGAGAAUGGGGAGUAGGUGGAGUGGUUGGGGAAUAAUAGGAAGAGAAAGGAGAGAGGAGAGAAAAAAGAAAGAAAAUGAAGAAAAGAAAUAGAAAUAAAAUAAUAAUAAUAGUAAAUAAUAAUAAAAUAAAAUAAUAAAAACUAAUAAUUAGAUGGUGAGUUAGCAAAAAAUAUAAAAUAUAAUCGAAAUUUAAAAACUAAAAAUAAAAUUGGGUUAAAAAUUAAUGUAAAGAUAAAAUUGGAACAAAUUUUGGGAUCUACAGCUCUUCGUAUAUAUCCUCUAUCCAAGAUAUCUAGGAUUUUUUUUAAAUAAUAAUAUAAUUUUAAAAUAUAUAUAUAUAUUACAAAAAUAUAAUAUUUUUGAAAGUUGUCUUUUUAAAAAAUGAUUUCACAUUCACAAAUUGUCUUUAUAAAAAAUAAAAACAAGUUUUUGUUAAUAGCUAUCUUGUAUUUCAUCUUUUAUUUUCUUUCUUAUUUCAAGUAAGAUCAUUGUUUCAAAAUGCGAUUUUGACAUGAAUAUACUCUUUUAUACCCUUAGAUGAGCUCUAUGGUAUUACAAUCAAGGAUAGUGAGACCUUGAAGAGCAUGUUGAUAUGUGGUGGCCAUGAUGGUAAUAGGUUUGUGUAUAGCUAAUGGAUUGACUAUAAAUAUCUCCAAAUCUAUUAUUUUAUUAUUAUAUGUCAUACUUUUUUAAAAUGUCAUUAUCAUUAUGUUAUGCUAGUUUUUGUACAUCAAAAUUAUUCCAUAUAUACUAUAUUUUUAAACUGUUUUUACUUUGUAUUAAUUAUAUCCUAACACUUGUGCAUCAUAAUUAUACGCUAAACCAUUUGUUCACCUAAUAGAUUUUAAUGUUUUUUAGGUAAGGACUCUCGUGCGUAUGCCUAUUGAGGAGGUAGAAUUAGCUUCAAAGAACAAGUCACUAAGUACCUAGACUUGCGUUUUUCCUUAUUAGACCUGUAGGAUAUGUAGUCCAUUUCCUUCAUGUAUUUUAGAUGUUUUCUUUAAUUUGUAUGUCUCAUCUUCUCAAUCUUUGCUUCCACUAUUAAUUUAUUUUGUUGUUAUUGUUUUAUCAAAAUCAUUUAGUUGUAUGUAUUUUUCUUAUACUAAAUAUUUAUAUGUUGAAACAAUGAUUUCUUUUUAGAUUUUGAUGCAAAAUGGACUCACAGUCUCUUAGUGGGCCCUUUUUGGGUGGGUCUUUACAAAUUAAGUUUCUAAUAAUAUUAUUAAUAACAGUUUUCUCUUCACAAAUUACUUAGUAAUUUUCUCUUAAUGAUGUAGACAUGGUCUUCCCCUAUGCAAAUUUAGAUCCAAAGCAAAUAGUAUUUAUACUUAAAAAAUAAGUUGGUUUGCUUUGUUAUCAAACUAAUAAAAAGGCUACCACAUGAAUAUAUUCAUAUUAUCACAAAUAUUAGCCUUGCCAAUAUAUUUGAGUUUUUUUCCUCUUUUCCAGCAUAUAAGUGCCAUAAACUUGGAUGCAUGAGCAAAGUUUGGUAAAACACACGGAUGAAUGCCAAGCAAAGACGAUGAAGAUGGAAAUACAGCAACAACCAGCAAGCAUAUAUGCGUAUAUGCAUCAUUCAACUAGUUCCUUUUUAUUUCCAUAUAUAUCACAAAGUGUAAAAGUCCACCAGGGUACAAAAUGUGAAUAGAGAAAAAGAAUACAAUAAUGACAUACAAUUUUUUGUGUUAUUAUUAUUUUUCCUUAAUGUAUUUAUCAUGAUGACUGACUCAUGCCCAAUUGGUGUCUCAGCUGAUUUGUGUUCAGCUGGUGCUCCUUGAUUGAGGAAGUGAUCAACAAAAUUUAUACCUAUAACACCAUACACUAGGGUAGCAAAUACAAAGCUACUAUAGUAUAGUGGCUCUAGGAUCGUUCACUGGGAAUGAUGAACAAGCAAUCAAGGAUACCAAUUCCAAGUGAAUUGGUCUUGUUUCAUUUCACGGUUAGCUUAAGAAGUAAAACACAAAGUUUGAUUGGUAAAGGUUUAGACUUAAACUAACUAACUUAACAGAAGUUUGGAAUAAUUUAGGAAGAAAAGCAUUCCUUGGAGAUUUAGGUUCACUGGGGUGGUUCCUCAUGCAAAAGACAUAGCUCCGGUCAGAUGGUUCAUUUCCUCGCAUUAGAGAUUCAACUUAGAGUCAAUUCUCUAACCGGUGAUGUACAGAGACUCCUUCAAUUAGAUUUCACUUUAAUUCUCUCACUGAUGCAACUUGCAAUGGUUCAUGCCUCUCACGAGCACUUACCAUUCAAGGUGAUCUUUAACCUUGGAUUUCCCUUCACAAACUCGCAAGAGAUAACUAAUGGAUGUCUCCUAGGAGUCCAAAAGCUUACCAAGUGUUGGUAAUUCUAGAAAAUCCUACCCUGAAGUCACCUACCAGAGGCUCGCAAGGGGUAAACUAGUGCAUUUCCACGGUUGGAAAUCACUUGCCUUACCAAGUGUUGGCCUAGGUGACUCCAAAGUGUUUUAAGUUAACUAAAAACAUUGAAAUCACUAAAGGAUUUCACUUCCUUUUCAUUACUAGCUAAAACCACAAAGCUUUGCAUUCUUGCACUUGGAACCUUCCCCGGCAAUCUUAGCUCCAAGGAAUUGGAGGUUUAGUUACUCAUUCUCUGGGGAAAACUCCUCAGAGAAUUCAUAACUUAGAAAUAAAAUGAAAAUACAAAGUGAGAAGGUAAGGCAGUAGAAAGAAAAGACUUUACUUGCUUACCAAAUGGUUACAGAAGGAACUCCUCCCUGAGAACAGGCUCCCGAGAGGUAUAUAUAUCAAAACAAUAUAAAAUUAAUUGUUACCAAGAUAUUUGGUCUUUUUACUAACUUAAAAACUAAGGAAUCAUGUAAUUGGUGGUUUACAAGGAGUAUUUUGGGAUUUAGACAACAAAAAUCUAAUGGAAAAUAUCUCCCAAUGUCGGUAGCAAGCUUCGGGAGGCUUCAGGAGCCAUUUCGUAGGAGAAAAGUGGUGUCUGCGAAAUUUCGCAGACACCCAAGAGGGCUGCGAAAUUAUUUCGCAACACUGAGCUAUCUUCACCAGGCUGCAAAGUUGGCUUCCAUCUUGAGGUUUCCAGCUCCCUUCUCGCGGCAUGGUUCAUGCAUCGUCAGAAGGAGAAACAUCUUACUGUACAAAAGUGCUGCGAAAUUCUCGCAACAAAAGGCUGAUUCCGCAACACUUUAGAGUGACUGGCUUGUAAUGGCUGCAACUUCUUCGUUUCAACUCCGAAUCGCGCACCGUUUGAAGCAUUGGAUUGUUGACUUCCUAAGCUUUGAAAUGGUAUAUAGCUUGCAUCAUUUGGACUUCAGAAAGUGCUCCAAAAGUGGCUGCUACGACUGUCAUCAAGAAUAGGCUUUAUGGCAGAUUCUCUUUGCUUUUUCUCCUUGCAAUCCGGAUUCACUCUUGGCAAUUGAAUUCUAAGCUUUGCCCAAGAUUCCUCAUAGCUCUCCUCAUUCUUGACUUGCUUUGGUGAUCAAAAUACUAACAAAAACACCAAAACUUACACAAAGUGAUCAAAAUUGCUUUAAAGGAUCCUUAACAUGUCAAUUGAGUUAAAAGGCCUAAACUACUACUCAAAAGUGUUAAAAAGGAUUAAUUAAAGGCUAUCAAAUAGCACUUUUUGAGUAGUAAUCAAUGACUAUGUACAAAAACAACAAAUGCAGGGCCUACAUAUUAUGUACUCAGGACUCGUAAGAUUUUCUGAUGUUGGGUGAUGACUAUGCACAUUAGAGGCUGGAGCUUCAUUUAUGUUCAGUAGCCAUAACAACAGGAGUGCUGACAUGCGAACCUGCUCUAGGGGGAGGCAUGGCAUGACCCGCAAACUUCAUUCCAUCAGUACAAGGUGAGCCUUUUUCGGGGAUACGGCCGCAUGAACUUGGUCCUGAAGGAGGGACAGGUCCUGAAAGCAUAGAUUUCAAAGGAACAAUCCUUAUCUUCAUCCACUCUUCUUUCUCUCCAUCAGGAACCCUACUCGCACUGCCGGGUUGGACACUCAGAAUAAAAACCACUGCUGUGACAGCUAAAACAAUGUUUAGAAAUCUCAUGAUGAUUUUGGUUGGGUUAAGCAAACAUGAGAUGAUCAGAUAGAACAAUAUUUUUAUGUGGGCAAUAUGCAUAUUGACGGAGGAGAACAAUCACCGGUUAUUUAUACGAAUGCAGCCAGGCAUGACUAGAGUUCUUGCUAGUUUGGCUUAGUUGAAGGGGUUUUUUUUUACUCUUAGACUAAGGUGGUAUUUGUUUUUUGGCCGAAUAAAAAAAAUCAAAAUAUUUAGUUUUUUCUAUUCAACUAAAAAUAAAAUGUUAACAUCAUUUAACAUAACUAAAUUAAACCUAUUGAUAACAAGUUCAUUUUAAUUAUAUUGAAUGAUGUCAACAGAUUACUUUUAACUGAAUAGAAAAAAUCAAAUAUUUUAAUUUUUUCUAUUCAGCCAAAAAACAAACACCACCUAAUAGAAUUUAAUUUACUCUAAGAGAUUAGAAAUUGAAUAGGUCAUAAAGGAAGAAAAUACCUAGAAUUACCCAAAUGACUAGUUUUCUUGUGUAGUUAAUUUAAUUCCACAUAUGAGUGCAUCUUAAAUCAAUUACAAAGAAAAUAUAUGAUAAUAUGAAUGCAUCUUAAAUCAAUUAGAAAGAAAAUAUAUGAUAAUUUCUCCAAGCUUUUUUGAAAAUAGAUACGAGAAAUUUAUCCAUUCCCAUUAACUUUAAUUAAUAUUAAAAUAUGUAAUUUAGCUUGGUUAAAUAUCAUUAGUUAUCAUUUCCGAGAAAAAGUUAGAUAAUUAUCAUUUUGGAGAGGAGGUUCCAUUGUAUAAUUACAUUUUUCUUCACCAACUUAAGCAUAAAUGGCUUUCCUGUACCAUAUGAAUUGCAGGAGGGGCUGCUAAAACUUAUUUCAUCAAAAAUCAUUGCCGAAUUGUUAGCGUUAAUCUAUAGCAAAAUUAAGUAUUAAUUCAAAAUUUUCUCACAGUUGUAAAGCACUCAAUGGUAGAAAUAAGGGUAGAGACAAAUCUAGGUAGGUAUGGUCUAUGAUGACUUUUGUCUUAUAUGAUACGUACCAUUGACUUUUGCCUUAUAAAUCAAGUUGUGGUAGGAACACGUUUGCUUGACUUGCGGCAUGAAUGUUUGGGGCUUUUAGACGAUAUAAUUCUAUCAGAUUCAAGUCGUUGAACAUAACUCUACUAACACGCAUCAGCUUUUCCACCGUCCAUGUUGACAUAGUUUAACGCACAUGUACCAACCCUCUUUAUCGUGACUUUACCCAUGUUGACAUAGUUUAACGCAUGCUCAAAUUAGUAACUUAGGAUGAAAUUUAAGGCUUAAAGCUAUAUUACCUUGAUAAAUAUGGUUAAUAUGGUUAAUUUGACCCAUUAUCCAACCGACUUGAGUUUUUAAAUCAAAACGGUAAUUUAACAAUUACACUAUUCGUGUACCAUUAAUUGGAAGGCUCUUCAAAUCCCCUUCAUAAAAUCGAGAAAUUAGUGAUUUAUCAAGAUUUUACAAAAAAAAUAAUAAUAAUCUAAUAUUUUUUUAAAAAAAUAUAAUAAUUGAAAAAUUAUUUUCAAAUCUAUAAUAAAAAAUUAUCUUUUGAAAAAACAAUUACAAAUUUUGAAAUUAUCUUCUAAAAAUAUAUUUUUAAAUAAAUAACUUAAUUUAGUCAUAAACAUAUGAGGUUGUGAAACCAAUCAUAUUGAUUUAAUUAAAACCCAGUUAUUAAAUAAAUUGUUAGAUGUAUUACCGAUUUAAUAAUUAUAUCAUAUUUUGAUCCAUAUUUUUAACUUGUGUGAUGUUAUCCAUGCUUUUAACUCGAUUUUCAUUGGUGUCAUGUUUAGAUUAACUUAUUCAAUAGAAUGCUUGAAUUUUGAAAUUAAUAACAUGAAUGUAUCCCAUCAGCACAAAUUACAUAUAUUAGACAAUUGUUUUUAUUACGAUGUUACCAUAAAUCAUAUAUAAUUCACAAAGUUUUGAAACUUCAAUCCAUUCUUCAUAUAUAUAUAUAUAUAUAUAUAUAUAUAUAUAAUAUAACUUUAUAUUCUUAAAAUGAUCAGGUUUAGGUUUUUUUUUUUCAUUUUUUUCCAAAUUAAUAUUUUAUUUUAAGUAAAUUUCUUUUUCCUUUACAAUUUCCUUUUCUAACUUCUUAUAUCUCAAACUACUAUAUUAUUUUUAGUCACCAAUGAACUAAAUUCCUUCUUUUACAAGUUUCUUUUUCACUUCUUUUUAUGUAUUAAUUUUGUGAAAUCAAGGUUUGGCUAAUCUCGAUUUUGAUGAUAACAUAACAAAAUUUAGAACUAAUUAUUAUAUUUCAAGUGUAAUUAGGCAAAAUGAUUUACAAAGUGACAAUCACAAAGACGAAUCAAAUCAAAGAAAAAUAAUGAAGAAAAAAAGACAUCAAAGAGAGGUAUUUUUCAAGACCCAAGCUUCAUAAGAUCUCUUUGUAAAGUUGUUGAUGCACUAGCAUUUUCAAACAUUACAUUCUUUACUUAUGCACCAAAAUCAUCCAAGAGUUAUUUUAUUUUAAAUUUUUAAAAAUUUGAUGAUUUCAUGUUUUCAAUUAAAAUCUUGUGUCAAAUGUUUUCCAAACUUGUUUAAAAUGUUUUAAGUUGAAAAAGUUAGUUGUUGAGCCAAAAACGGCUCAACUAGUUGAACCGGAUGAUUAGUGCACCAUUCAAUCCUAAAUUUCUUGUAUCAUUUGAGUUUAAAGUUUUGUAUUAGGAUUUAAUGAAAUCAUUUAUAAAUCUUUGAGAAGAAAAGUCUAAGUGUAAAGUAUCACUUAGGGAUUCUCAAGUGAGGAGUAUCACUUGAGGGGUUGUUCAAGAUAGGGGUAUCUCUUGAGAAGUGUAAAGAGUGUUUGAAGCCAAAAGUCCAAGAUGGUGGAUUAGAACCAUAAUCCAAUUGUAUUGCUUGAAGGAUUAGUUUGAAAACUUUCAAAUAGUGGAACCUCAAGCUUGAUAUUGAAGCUAAAAGAGAGUGGAUGUAGGUCAGGAUACAUCGAAUCACUAUAAAAUCUUGUAUUUGUAUUCUCUCUUCUCUGCUCUAUUAAUUUAUAUGAAGUUAUCUUUAUAUUGUUUUAUUAUAUACUUGCAUAUAAUUGUUUCUUACAUUCACAUAGUUUGAAUUUCAUCACUCUUUUCACCCCCCCUCCCCCCCGGGGUGAUUACCUUAGAUUGAAUUAGCCUAAUUUUUCUAACAAAUUUUAUCAUCCUCUAUCUUCAGCAAUCUAACUUAUCUAUAACAGAAGUAAAGAAAAAAUUAAUGAUUCGCACCAUCUCCAGCACUGAAUAUUAUUUGAAGAUUUUAUCAUAUUAUAUUUCAUAAAUCCUUGAGAAAAACAUUUGUUCUCCUUUGAAUAAAUGGUAGUAAAGAGACCAAAAUUUAAGUUGAAGACAAGAGAAUGAAUCAUUACUGACGAUAAGGUUUUCAAAGUUUUGGCAAAUGUCAAACCAUACGAUUUGAAUCUUGAUAACCAACCUCAAAGCUUAACGUUGAAGCAUUUGAAUUGGGUCUGAAUCAACUUUUCAACCUUAUAGAAGUAAAGUUUUCCAUAACAAUGGAAAACAGGGAAUGUUUGUUGUUGAACUAGAAGUCAAACCAGUACGCAUGAGAGCAGGUUCAUGGGAAGCUGCCCAAAAAUUAUGUACUCCAGAAGAAUUUUUGUUCCUCUUCCACACUGUUGAACCUCAUUUUCGGUCUUAUUAACUGUGGGGUAAUUGAAAUUGAUCAGAAAAAUAGGCGAGGGAAGGAAAAAUAAAUUUAAACCUUAAAUGACUCUCUCUCUCUCUCUCUCUCUCUCUCUCUCUCUCUCUCUAUCUAUCUAUCUAAUUAACGUGCAAGUAAAUACAUUAUGACUAUCCUGGACAAAUACAGGGAAAAUAAUUCAAAGGGUUGACUAACAGGGAAAAUAAUUCAAAGGGUUGACUCUCUCUCUCUCUCUAUAAUAUAGGAAUUAAUACAUUUUUUUUUCCACAAAACAUCUCUCAUAAUUUUUGAGAAAUAUAUUAAUGUACUAAUAUUUCUUCAUUUUAGUUCCUUCACUGUUAUUUUUUAUAUUCGAAGAGACUAUGAAAAGAAAAUUGUAUCCUCUCCUUCAGAUGCAAUGGCAAAUCUCAAAAUCUUCCUACAAAUUAAAUUGAAAAUUAAAUUUUUAUUAAUGACAUAUGAAGACUACGUAGUUCUUGUAAUAGCAAACUUGGGUAAUAACUCAAAUUGCCGGCAUGCGCCCUGAAUGUCAAAUUAAGAUGGUUGAUGAGGAUGGUAAAGCAGCAACUACCAGCAAAGAUGAUUUCCAACUUAUUCAUUUAUUCUCAAUUUGUCUUAGUGAAAAAACCUUCAGAAGGGUACGUACGUACCACAUGUGAACAAUAAUCAAAAUUACAAAAUACGUAAAAUUGCCAGUAUGUUCUUCAUUAUGUAAACAAACACACAAACUUUAUCACAAGAAUGACAACAUACACGACCCAAUGAAAAGAAUUUCUGAUUUUGGGGGCUCCCAUGGUCGAGCUUCUUCUAUAUAUAUGUUCACUGUCCAGUAGCCAUGACGAACGGAGGGGGAGGCUUGGCAUGGCCUGCAAACUUCAUUCCGUUAUGGCAAGGUGGGGCGCCCUUUUCCGGGAUAUGGCUGCAUGAACUGCUUCCAGAAGGAGGCACAGGACCUGAACUCAGAGAUUGUAAAGGAACAAAUCUUAUCUUGAUCCACUCUUCUUUCUCUCCAUCAAGAACCCUACCAGCACUGUGUGGUUGGACGCUCAGAACAAGAACAAGUGCGGUGACAGCUAAAGCAAUGUUGAGAAACCUCAUGAUCUUUGACGGGUUAAGCAAAGAGGAGAUGAUCAAAGCAAUAUUUUUGGAUGGACAAAUUAAUAUGC
rnacentral:lncRNA from 1 species